AUACCCUGCAAAGCCACAGAGGCAGAGCUGCCCAAGGCCAUGGGAGCCCACUUCUUACAUCAGUAUGACCUGGAUGUGAGACAUGGAGUCAAAGGGCACCAUUUUGGAAUGCCCUGCUGGAUUUCGGACUUGCAUGGCUGGGAAGAUGCUCUGAAUAACAUACUCUUGGUCAUGUGAAUGCGUUCCUUGGCAACCCUGGCCCUGCAAAGUUUGGCAGGAGGGGAUUUUCGGGUUGCCAGCUAAAGCCCUGACACUCAGAGCAGGCCUCAGUGUCUCUGUUCCCAACCCUGUCCCCAUCCCCAACUGAGGGAACUUUUGUUUGUGCAAUAGCUGUUGUAUCUCACUCAUCCCUUCUACUAAUUGGCUCUGACCCUAACUUUCCAUAUUCUCCAGCUUGGAGAUGCCUGUGGGAGGUUUGCUUUGAGAAGGCCCCAGCUUUGGCAUUGUCAGUUUUUCAUCUGGCUCCUAAUCUAUUUCACUUUGUCUCAAGCUUCCCUUCUUUGGUGACCCACUAAAAACUGAAGUUGUGCUGGCAAGAUGGUGCGUUGUUGUCAUGGAAAGAGGCUGUUUGCAGAACUGCAGGGUUAACAAGAAGGCUUCUUUGGCCUGUGGACGGUUGGUUUGUCUUUGGCAGUAGCCAGUUGGAGUACAGCAGGGAGGCAUGUUCAUUCCAGAAGCUGUCUAGUCUUCACUUGAA
rnacentral:lncRNA from 1 species